GGCGGGUCCCUGCGCAUUGUGGAAUGGUGAAUCUGGUCAGGUCGGGAACGAAGCAGCCACAGCCAGUCUCUACAAGUGCCGCAGAUCAGGCUCGCCUUC
rnacentral:SRP_RNA from 1 species